rnacentral:lncRNA from 1 species
CACCUCCAGAGAAAGUAACAGCUCUCAAUUGAUUAGCUGAGGAAGACACCAGACAAAUGAGUUACACUGUUUUGGACUCCCCAACACAACCCAGCCACCGGCUGAAUGCCACCAAAUUACCUUCUAGUUAAAGGUUUAUGGAGCAAACGAAUCACCUAUUCAAUAUCUGCUUGAAUUUCUGACUCAAAAUACAUCAGAAGCCUCAGGGGCUGGAUCCUGACAUGAACCAGACACCUCCAGAAUUCUAUCCCAAGCAAAAGAUUAUUUCAAGGCCAGAACUCACUCCCUGCUGGAGACUGACUACAAGAUCCACUGAGAUUGAUGUGUAACCUGAUUGGGCCCACAGUGAUGCUAGCCCCUUCACCAGAUGGAACAAUAAUUCCAGACAAGCCAUCAGAGCAGAGAGCAGAGAAGAGGAGAAGCAGCUGGAUGUCAGAGACUGCAGUUUGACGUUGGAGAAAAGCAGCUUGACUUCAGAGGGACAGCUUGACAGCAUGGAUUCAGAGAGGAGAAGAUCACCUUCCUGCUCCGUCCCCUUUCCAGCUCCCUUUCCCACUGAGAGCCACUUACACAGGCAAUAAAAUCCUCUGCAUUCACCACC